GAUGAAGAACGUAGCGAAAUGCGAUAAGUAAUGUGAAUUGCAGAAUUCAGUGAAUCAUCGAAUCUUUGAACGCACCUUGCGCUCCUUGGUAUUCCGAGGAGCAUGCCUGUUUGAGUGUCAUUAAAUUCUCAACCUCACCAACUUUGUUGUGUGAAGGCUUGGAUGUGGGGGUUGCAGGUCCGCACUCGUGUGGUCUGCUCCUCUAAAACGUAUUAGUGGGUUAGUCCCCUAAUCUAUUGGUGUGAUAAUUAUCUACGCCGUGGAUUUGGAGGGCUAUCAUAGACCUGCUUCUAACCGUCCUCUGGACAACUUUGACAAUUUUGACCUCAAAUCAGGUAAGACUACCCGCUGAACUUAAGCAUAUCAAUAAGCGGAGGA
rnacentral:misc_RNA from 1 species